rnacentral:lncRNA from 1 species
AAGUCUGAUAUUCGAUUGUUUUCAGACAUGCCCACUACUCCUGAGGGUGUUUUGCAGUACAGGAAGACACAACACACUGAGCGAGUUUGCUCGGGGCCAGACACCAUCAAAUGAACUUCAAAUUUACACAUGGAUGGAUGCCACUUUGAAGGAACUAACAAGUUUGGUAAAGGAAGUCAAUCCAGAUGCUAGAAGAAAGGGAACUUUUUUUGACUUUGCCGUUGUUUAUCCUGACCCUCGUACCCCUGUUUACAGAAUGCGGGAGAUUGGCACAACAUGUGCCGGGCAUCGUGGUCAAGAUGACAGUCAUUCUUUGACCUCUAAGAGGUUUCAGAUUGGUGAUUACCUAGACAUAGCUGUUACCCCGCCCAGGGGUGGAGGUGGCCCUCCUCCUCGUCGCAAUCGUCCAUACUGAAAGAAUGUUGAUUUACGAUAAACAUUACAUUCAACAUAUUCAACAAUCUGAAUGCUUUGUAAGACUUACUUUCAUUUUGGAAUGAAUGGGCUUGUGUAAGUUUGUGAUGGAUAGCUGUACCUGCACUCCUUGGAUUUAAUUCUGGGACACAAGGGAAAGAUAUUGACCAAGUGAGAGUAAAGUGUUUUGCUUUUUACAGAACUUGUGACGGGAAAGGAAGAAGCUUCAUCAAUUAGGAACAUUUUAUUAUUGUUUUAUUGUAUGAUAACAUAGGGAGGUUGUGUGUGUGUGUAGUGUGUUGUGUAUAAUUGAGAAUAAUGUGUGUUCUGUACACAUGAUCCUACAACUAAAUAAUAAAUUUCGAAGAAUUUUAUUUAAAUCCAAGAAUUUAUUUUUUAAUUUUCAAUAAAUUUCUUUGAUAAUUUUAUUCUAAGCUGCAAGCAGAGAAAAAUAAAAAUGGUUUGUACAUAUAUAAACUUCAUAAAUGAAUCAGGAUAUUAUGUAACUAUUUCUUCAAUUAAUUUCUUUUUAUUCAGUAGGUUUUAUUGACUAUGUGGAUUUUUAAAUAAUGUCUAACCUGUUCUAAAUUAUAUGAGAAAAAUUGUAAAUUUGAAUGUGUUUCAAUUUGUCUUAUUUUAAAAAAUGAAUUAAUUCUACCAGUGGUGUGAAUUUUAAACAGCUAUGAUUACAAAUUAAUUACAUGACAUCUUUUGCAUCCUUAGCCAAUUACAAAAAACAAAACAAUUUUUGGUUUUAAGAUUUUAAAGAUCCUUGCUGUGUUGACAAGAUAUUUUUCCAUGUUGUACAUGAAGCUGAAUGUUGUCUGAUUGUAAGGUGAACUUGUUUGGAGUCUGUGUAUAAGUGAUCCUAUUCAUCAUAUACAAGUUACACGAGAAAUAAAAGUUCUGUGUUAUAAAAA